UACGGAGGAUGCAAGCGUUAUCCGGAUUUAUUGGGUUUAAAGGGUGCGCAGGUUGUUUGAUAAGUCAGUGGUGAAGGUCUGUCGCUUAACGGUAGGAUUGCCAUUGAUACUGUUAGACUUGAAUAUGGAUGAGGUAGGCGGAAUGUGUAGUGUAGCGGUGAAAUGCAUAGAUAUUACACAGAACACCGAUUGCGAAGGCAGCUUACUAACCCAUCAUUGACGCUGAGGCACGAAAGCGUGGGGACCGAAACAGGAUUAGA
rnacentral:rRNA from 1 species